UUGAACACUAGGAGAAUCUGAACAUGAACCAAUUACUAAACAACAUUAAGGAAUUACUGUUAAUUUUCUUUUGCAUGACAACAGUAAUGUGGUUUUGUAAAAUUAUAUUUUUCUGUUAGCACAACCCGUUUCUAUAUUGUUAUUAUUGUAGCUCUGUAGCAUUCUUAUGAACUAGAGAAUUUAAUGAAAUUUAAACUGAAAUGCUCCCACAUAACUUUGGAUAAAUGGCCUAUAUUUUUCACAUUAGAACUCAAGUCAAUUUUCAACUCUUUACCUACUGUAACUUUUUUGUAAUUCUCCUAAAUUUAUCAAUAUGUGUGCACACAUGUGUAUUUAUGUUAUAUAUAUCAAACAUUAUUACCUUUAACAGGAACAAUGGAAAAACUGGCCUUGAUCAUUGAUCAGUAAAUAAUCAGCUUACAAGAAAUCACAAAAUA
rnacentral:lncRNA from 1 species